GUACGAUUGGUUUACGGUUCAGGGUACGAGGGAGUCGGUGGUCUAAACCGUUGGCUUUCGACCACUACGAUCCGGGUUCGAUUCCCGCAUUGGGCA